GACCAAAGAUUUAUCGCCCAAGGAUGAGCCCGCGUAAGAUUAGGUAGUUGGUGGGGUAAAGGCCUACCAAGCCGACGAUCUUUAGCUGGUCUGAGAGGAUGAUCAGCCACACUGGGACUGAGACACGGCCCAGACUCCUACGGGAGGCAGCAGUAAGGAAUAUUGGUCAAUGGGCGCAAGCCUGAACCAGCCAUGCCGCGUGCAGGAAGACGGCCCUACGGGUUGUAAACUGCUUUUGUACCGGAAUAAACCUUUGUAUGUAUACGAAGCUGAAUGUACGGUAAGAAUAAGGAUCGGCUAACUCCGUGCCAGCAGCCGCGGUAAUACGGAGGAUCCAAGCGUUAUCCGGAUUUAUUGGGUUUAAAGGGUGCGUAGGUGGCCUAUUAAGUCAGGGGUGAAAGACGGUAGCUCAACUAUCGCAGUGCCUUUGAUACUGAUGGGCUUGAAUACACUAGAGGUAGGCGGAAUGUGACAAGUAGCGGUGAAAUGCAUAGAUAUGUCACAGAACACCAAUUGCGAAGGCAGCUUACUAUGGUGUCAUUGACACUGAGGCACGAAAGCGUGGGGAUCAAACAGGAUUAGAUACCCUGGUAGUCCACGCCCUAAACGAUGAACACUCGAUGUUGGCGAUAUACGGUCAGCGUCUAAGCGAAAGCGUUAA
rnacentral:rRNA from 1 species